rnacentral:rRNA from 1 species
UACGGAGGGGGCAAGCGUUGUUCGGAAUUACUGGGCGUAAAGAGCUUGUAGGCGGUUUGUCGCGUCUGCUGUGAAAAUCCGGGGCUCAACCCCGGACUUGCAGUGGGUACGGGCAGACUAGAGUGUGGUAGGGGAGACUGGAAUUCCUGGUGUAGCGGUGAAAUGCGCAGAUAUCAGGAGGAACACCGAUGGCGAAGGCAGGUCUCUGGGCCACUACUGACGCUGAGAAGCGAAAGCAUGGGGAGCGAACAGG